AAGACGAAAGUUUUAAUGUUUUUUUUUUUUUUUUUUUUAAAGUUUUAAUGGAGUUAGAAGUCUACUUUGAGAAGAAAAAACUAAGAGCUAGUACAUAAGGUGAUGGGUCAUUUUAAUAUUAAAUCAAUAUAAGUGCAUUAUUGUUCAUUUUAAUAGUAAAUCAAUAUAGUGCAUUAUUGUUAUUGCUGCACCAACUUUCUUUACAGGCUUUACAGCCAUACAUACAUAACUUUUCUUUCAAAUAUUCCUUUUAACUUUAUUCAACUUUAAAAAAGAAAUAAUGCACUAAGUUUUGUCUACGGUAUUUUAUGAAAGCUUUCAUUCAUUUUUGGUGAAUGCUCUUCUAUAUAAGAAGACCAUAUGCACGGCUAACAUACAGGGAAGAGGGAGAAGAAGAUAUACGGAGAGUUCAUAUAUUAUAAAAGAGAGUUUAAUAGUUGAAGGGAGGUGCUUAUUUGUGUGGAGUUUUGAACUCAAUUCUAGUCCAGAGUAUUGAGUUAUAUUGUGUAGACUGUUGUAUUCUGGAGGGGACAGGCCAAUGAGUAUUACUGCUGGAUCGGAGAAAUAAUUACCGCAGUGAGCUUGAAUCUCCUUAAAGAAAGCGAGAUAUCCGCGCCUCAGCCAUAGAAGAAGAAAUAUAAUUUUCUUUAUUCAUUUGUAAUUUUCAGUUGUAAAUCAGUUGUAAUAUCAUUGCAAUUUAUUGAGAUUUUCACCAACAAUUUUAAGGAGAUUCAUAGAUGGCAACAACUGAAAAUUUCGCGGAUGUCAAGAUGGGAGAUCUCAACAAGCCAUUCCGGUUCAACGGUACUCACUUCAAGAGGUGGAAGGGUAAAGUGUUUUUCUACUCUAGUCUUCUCAAUGUUUUUUAUGUGUUAACUGAGAAAAACCCAAAUAAAGUAGAUAACUCUUCCAUGACUGACGACGAACUUAUCUCUCUUGAAGAGAAAGUUGAAAAAUACAGUUGUGACUCCUACAAGUGUCGUUAUUUUUCACUUAAUUGUCUAUUUGAUAAUUUUUAUGAUUAUUAUGAUAGAACUUACUCUAAUGCAAAGAAAAUUUAGAAAGUCUUGCAAAGUAAGUAUGACACUGAGGAGGUGGAAGCGAAAAAACAUGCGGCUAGAGGCCAAGAUACACUUAUGCAAUCAGAAGAGAACAUCACACCGAAGGAAAACGUUACCGAAGAACCAUUUAUGACAGUAAUAACAGACAUAAACAUGGUGGUGAAUGUUGAUGGAUGGUGGGCUGACUCUGGUGCAAACCGUCAUGUCUGUUAUGACAAAGACUGAUUUAAACAUUAUAAAAAUUUUGAGGAGCCCAAAAUCGUCAUGCUUGGAGAUUCACACACAAGUCAAGUACUUGGAGUGGGGGAUGUCGAAUUGGGAUUUAAUUCUGGAAGAGUAUUAAUCUUAAAGGAUGUGCUAUAUACUCCUUUCAUGAGAAAAAAUUUAAUGUCGAGUUUUCUUCUUAAUAAAGCGGGUUUCAAACAGAUUAUUGAAUCUGAUCAGUAUUUAAUUGUGAAAAAUAAUAUUUUUGUGGGAAAAGGAUAUGCAUGUGAUGGUAUGUUCAAAUUGAAUGUUGAAAUGAAUAAAGUAUCUACUUCUGUUUACAUGCUUUCUUCUACUAAUUUUUGGCAUGCUCGUUUGUGUCAUAUAAAUGAACGAUAUGUGGGAAUCAUGAGUAUUUUAGGAUUAAUUCCAAUAAUCAAAAAGAAUUUUGAAAAAUGUGAAGCUUGUAGUUAAGCUAAAAUCACAAAAAGGCCUCACUUCUAUGUUGAAAGAAAAACUAAUUUAUUAGAAUUAGUUCAUAGUGAUAUUUGUGAACUUAGUGAAAUUUUAACUCGUGGAGGAAAUAUAUAUUUUAUCACUUUUAUUGAUGAUUUUUCUAAGUUUACAUAUGUUUACUUAAUGAAAAAUAAAAGUGAUGCUUUUGAGAAUUUUAAAACUUUCCUCCAUGAAGUUGAAAAUCAGUUUAAUAAAAAAAAAAAAGAAUAAGAAGUGAUAGAAGCCGUGAAUAUGAGUCACUUGAGUUCAAUUCUUAUGUAAGAUCAUUGGGUAUAAUUCAUGAAACUACUCCUCCUUAUUCUCUGGCAUCUAACGGUGUAGCAGAAAGGAAGAAUAGAACUUUGGUUGAGUUAACUAAUGCCAUAUUAAUUGAGUCUUGUGCACCGUUAAAUUUUUUGGGUGAAGCUCUUUUGACUGCUUGUUAUGUGUUGAAUCGUGUGCCUAAUAUAAAGAUGAAAUUAACGCCUUUUGAAUUAUGAAAAGGUCAUAAGCCAAAUUUGGGAUAUCUAAGAGUUUGGGGUUGUUUAGCCUAUGUGAGGUUAAUGGAUCCUAAAAUCUGUAAGUUGGGUAAGAAAGUUACUGCUUGUGCUUUUCUUGGUUAUGCUUCUAAUAGUACAGCCUAUAGAUUUUUUAAUCUUGAAGAUAGUGUGAUAAUAGAAUCAGGUGAUGCUAUUUUUCAUGAAGAUAAAUUUCCUUUUGAUUCUAAAAAUAGUGGGGGUCAUGGGACUAAAGAAAAUAUCUUAUCACUACCUAGUUCUUCUACUUCUACUUUAAAUAAUAAUGAAACUGAUGAUUUUGAGUUAAGAAGAAGUAAACGAGCUAGAGUAGAAAAAACUUUGGUCCUGAUUAUUAUGUUUUUAACGUUGGAGAUGACCCACUCACUUUAAAAGAAGCUUUGUCAUCACAUGAUGCUAUUUUUUGGAAAGUGUCUGUAAAUGAUGAAAUGGAAUCGCUAAUUUCUAAUAAAACUUGAAAGUUAGUUGAUUAACCACCGGGUUGUAAAACAAUUGGAUGUAAAUGGGUCUUACGUAAAAAAUUAAAAUCAGAUGAAUCUGUUGAAAAAUAUAAAGCUAGGCUUGUGGAAAAAGGUUUUAAACAACUAGAAGGCCUAGAAUUUUUUGAUACUUUUUCACCAGUAAUGAGAAUUACAUCCAUUAGACUUUUAAUUGCUAUUGCGGUAAUUUUUGAUUUACAAGUUCAUCAAAUGAAUGUAAAAAAUGCUUUUUUAAAACGGAGACCUAAAUGAAGAGAUUUACAUGGAACAACCCGAAGAUUUUGUUGUGGCUGACCAAGAAAGCAAAGUAUGUAAACUUAAUAAAUUCCUAUAUGGCUUGAAACAGACACCGAAACAAUGGCAUGAAAAGUUUGAUUCCUGCAUGAUUGAAAAUGAGUUUAAAACAAAUGAGUGUGAUAAGCGCAUAUAUCAUAAGUCUUGGAAUAAUUCAUAUGUUAUUAUUUACCUAUAUGUUGAUGAUUUAUUGAUCUUUGGCUCUAACAUGAAUAUUAUUGAUGAGACUAAAAAUAUUCUUAGAAGCCAUUUUAAAAUGAAAGAUCUUGGUGAGGUAAAUUUUAUUCUAGGAAUAAAAAUUACUAGAACAUGUGAUGGAAUUUUCCUUGACCAGUCACAGUAUGUUGAGAAAAUAUUGAAAAAAUAUAAUUUCCUUGAUUGGAAGCAUGUUGUAACUCCAUUUGAUUCUAGUGUUCACCUGUUUCCUGUCGAGAGUGAAACAAAAGUAAUAAAUCAAAAGGAACAUGCUAGCAUAAUUGAAAGUUUGAGAUAUGUGACUGAUUGCACUAGGCCUGAUAUUGCAUAUGCAGUAGGAGUACUUAGCAGGUUUAUUAGCAAGCCAGGUAAUUAAUGAACAUUGGCAUGCUAUAAACAGAGUAAUGAGAUAUUUAAUUGGAAUAAAAAAUUAUGAUUUGUUCUAUACAAAAUAUCCUGCUGUACUUGAAGGCUAUUGUGAUGCGGAUUGGAAUACUUUAUCAGGUGAUUCCUUAUCCACGACUGAUUAUGUUUUUACUUUGGGUGGUGGUGCUAUUUGUUGGAAGUCUAAAAAGCAAACAAUUAUUGCUAACUCUACCAUGGAGGUUGAACUAAUUGCUUUAGCUUCAACUAGUGAGGAAGCGAAUUGGUUGGGAUAUUUGUUAUUUCAAAUACCUUAUUUUGAAAAAACAAUUCCUCCUAUAUUAAUUCAUUGUGAUAAUACCGCUGCAAUUGGUAGAGUUUAAAACCGUUAUUAUAACGGUAAAUCCAGACCUAUACGGAGAAAAUACAGUAAUGUGAGAUUAUAUUUGACAAAUGAUACCAUUAAUGUUGAUUAUGUCAAAUCUUGUGAUAAUCUUGCAGAUCCGUUGACUAAGGCCUUAGCAAGAGAAAAGGUCUGGAGUACAUCGAGGGGGAUGAAAUUGAAGCCUAUUAAAUCAUCAGUCAUAUGUGAGGAAACCCAACCUGGGGACUAGAGAUCAUAUAACCAGGUUCAAUGGGAAAAAUGAAUCACCUGAUGACUUGUUAUGAAAAAUGCACUAUUAAUUUAUCCCUCCCUAUGAUGUAAGUACAUUUGCCUGUAAUGAUUGUGAGGUUGAGUUUAUUAAACUCUUAAUGAAUAUCUGUAUCUCUUA